UUGCGCAGUAUAGGUGGGAGGCGAAGAAGAUAUGUUUGCGGAUGUAUAUGAGCCAAUAGUGAGAUACCACUCUAAUUAAACUAGGAUUCUAAUAUUGAUUGCCAUAAGCUGGCCAAUAAACAGUUUCUGGUGGGCAGUUUGACUGGGGCGGUCGCCUCCUAAAAAGUAACGGAGGCGUGCAAAGGUUUCUUCAGGCUGGUCGGAAAUCAGUCGCAGAGUGUAAAGGCAUAAAGAAGCUUGACUGCAAGACUUACAAGUCGAGCAGAGACGAAAGUCGGCCUUAGUGAUCCGACAGU
rnacentral:rRNA from 1 species